CUUUAGCGUAUUAAAAUGAUCCGUAGUCAACUCAUUAUUAUUCCAACCGGCUAAGCUCUAUCUUCACUCGCGUUAACGAGCUCUUCAUAUAUCUCUGCAGCGUGAGAACAUCUUCCUCAGUAAUUACUCUUCUCCAACUUUUCCACCAAUUUUUUCCUUCUUCCAUCUCUUCAGCUCCUUUUCCGUGCUCUUCUCUUUUCCCAUUUGAGACCAUGAAUCUCCCUCCUUCCCUCCAGGGCAUGAAUUUUCCUCCUCUAGCGAUCAGAGGUGCUACUCUCGGAGACCACUGUAACCCUGUAACCCUGUUCUAACCCUAUUCUGCAGGAGCCAUUAGAGGCUUCGACUCCCCUGUCGCGACACCAUGAACCAAGCAUCAUGUUGGCGAAGAGAGCAAAGCUUUAGGUCUCUUAUGAAUCAUGAGUAAUUAUUUAUGUUUGUUCGUUGCUAUCCUUUUUUUCCUCACUAUACGUCAAAUCUGAAAACAUCUACCAAAUAUUUAGUUCUACCGUUUUAGUACUAUUUUCAUCGCUUCUACUUUCUGGAUCUCCCCUUAUCUAUUUAGCGUCAAGUAUACCAUCUUUAUCAGAUGUUCUCCUCCAGACUCCAGUAGGUCCUUCUUCCUCCUGAUUAUUAGCAUUACUAUCAUAAUCUCCUCUCCAGAAAGUGAUGAUCCAUGCAAAUGAAACAUUACCCAUGGAUGUUACGAUUGUUUGAUUUUUUCGACAAGACGUUGCGCUAUAUCUAACGUCAGACCAAGGAACUGAUUUGCUGCACCCACCCUCCAAAGACUUCGGGUCGGUGCGUACGAAACAUUAGCUAGCGUUAGCUUCUGCCCGGGGCUCUGGAGCAUAUGCGACCCACUUUUAUCCAUGCUGUCGAGCUCACAAAUAUCAUUGUCUGCGACAUCGAUAUCGAAAGUCUCUUCAACGGACAUAAUAAGUUCGGAGUGAUCAAGGGAAUCAAAACCCAGAUCGGUGGUGAAAGACGCAUUACCAGUAAGCUGAGACGGAGGUUGGCAAGAUAAAGUUAGAUCAUGAAGUGAGCCAUAUCAAGAAACUCAUACCUUGCUACUGUCAAUUUGCUUGAAUUGGUUGAGCACUCUCAGUAACAUAUCCUUUCUCAUAAAAGAGGUUUUGCCGAACAAUUUGACGGGCUUUGGCCGAUAAGAAAUGGCCAUGGAACGUCUAACAUAAUGAGGAAAGGUUGAACGGAAAAGAGGGAUAGAUCGAUACAUCUUCGGCAAAAUCAAAACUGAUUAUGGUAUGUUGACUUUUUGGGGGCGGAUAGUGAAGGCUUGGCGCGUGUGGUUGUUUAACAAAGGUAGAGCGAAGAUAGGGUUGAAGUUGUACGGAGUAGCGACGGAGUAGACGAUGGACUACGUAAUAACGUA
rnacentral:sRNA from 1 species